rfam:Schistosoma rodhaini strain Burundi genome assembly, scaffold: SROB_scaffold0002389
ACUGAGGAGUCCCACAAUAGGACGAAACGGCCGUCC